AGAGUUUGAUCCUGGCUCAGAUUGAACGCUGGCGGCAUGCCUUACACAUGCAAGUCGAACGGCAGCGNNNGGCAACCUGGCGGCGAGUGGCGAACGGGUGAGUAAUAUAUCGGAACGUACCCUGGAGUGGGGGAUAACGUAGCGAAAGUUACGCUAAUACCGCAUACGAUCUACGGAUGAAAGUGGGGGACCGCAAGGCCUCAUGCUCGUGGAGCGGCCGAUAUCUGAUUAGCUAGUUGGUGAGGUAAAGGCUCACCAAGGCGACGAUCAGUAGCUGGUCUGAGAGGACGAUCAGCCACACUGGAACUGAGACACGGUCCAGACUCCUACGGGAGGCAGCAGUGGGGAAUUUUGGACAAUGGGCGCAAGCCUGAUCCAGCAAUGCCGCGUGAGUGAAGAAGGCCUUCGGGUUGUAAAGCUCUUUUGUCAGGGAAGAAACGGUAGGAGCUAAUAUCUCUUGCUAAUGACGGUACCUGAAGAAUAAGCACCGGCUAACUACGUGCCAGCAGCCGCGGUAAUACGUAGGGUGCAAGCGUUAAUCGGAAUUACUGGGCGUAAAGCGUGCGCAGGCGGUUUUGUAAGUUUGUCGUGAAAUCCCCGGGCUUAACCUGGGAAUUGCGAUGAAGACUGCAAGGCUAGAAUCUGGCAGAGGGGGGUAGAAUUCCACGUAGCAGUGAAAUGCGUAGAGAUGUGGAGGAACACCGAUGGCGAAGGCAGCCCCCUGGGUCAAGAUUGACGCUCAUGCACGAAAGCGUGGGGAGCAAACAGGAUUAGAUACCCUAGUAGUCC
rnacentral:rRNA from 1 species